rnacentral:rRNA from 1 species
UACGUAGGGGGCAAGCGUUGUCCGGAUUUAUUGGGCGUAAAGAGCUCGUAGGCGGUUUGUCGCGUCGGCCGUGAAAUCUCCACGCUUAACGUGGAGCGUGCGGUCGAUACGGGCAGACUUGAGUUCGGUAGGGGAGACUGGAAUUCCUGGUGUAGCGGUGAAAUGCGCAGAUAUCAGGAGGAACACCGGUGGCGAAGGCGGGUCUCUGGGCCGAUAUCGACGCUGAGGAGCGAAAGCGUGGGGAGCGAACAGG